CGGAAGCCUAGUCGCCCGGAGGUUCUGAGCGUUCUGUUCGGACCUCCUACCGUUACUCUUUCAUUCACUCAAGAAAUGAUUUCUUGAGUUCCCGGCCUUUGUCAGAGAGAUGAACGAGGCACGGUCCGUGUCCAGCUAAAGGACAGUAGGACUGGAAGAGCGUUGUUUUCCAAGGUACAGGAUGCCGCGCCUCCUAGGAGCCGAAGGGACGGGAGGCCGCGUAGAGGAGGGGACCGUCCCCGAGCCUCGCCGAGCCUGCGGUGUAGACACCUCUGGUGUCUAGUGGUUGAGGAUCUGUUGACCGGGCAUGGUGGGUAGAAGGAACGCUCCGAGCAGAAGAAAAGUGGCUGUCGUGAAGACAUCUGCGUGUGCGGGGUGCGUGGGUGCCUGGAGAUGAAGCUGGAAAGGUGAGCAGGGGCGGGCCUGGAGGGCUUCGUGUGCGUGGUAAGAAAUUUAAACAGGAUCCUGAGUAGCCUAGACGGUAUUUUAGGGGCUUUUUUUGUUUUUGUUUUUUUGUGAGACAGAUUCUAGCUCUGUCACCCAGGUUGGAGUGCAGUGGCUAGAUCUUGGCUCACUGCAGCCUCCGCCUUCCGGGUUCAAGCGAUUCUCCUGCCUCAGCCUCCCGAGUAGCUGGGAUUACAGGCGCGCGCCACCACAACUAGCAAAUUUUUGUAUUUUUAGUAGAGACGGGGUUUCGCCAUGUUUGCCAGGCUGGUCUCGAACUCCUGACCUCCAGUGAUCUUCCCGCCUCGGCUUCCCAAAAUGCUGGGAUUACAGGCGUGAGCCACCACGGCCGGCCUAGGCUGUAUUUUCAUCUGGACAUAUGAGCUUGUAUUUGCACUUCGAAAUACACCAGGUAACCAGGUUGGGUUGAGGAGGAAAAGUAUGCAGCCUGUUUGGGUAUGGUGACAGAAUCGAGGCAGGGACGGCCUGACAUGUGUUUAUUGGUGAGCAGUCUUGUGUCUCUUCCAUUGACAUGUAACUCUCAUGAGAGCAAGGACUAUUACCUCUUUAGUUCAUUUGUCUUACCCAGCACUUAGAAGAGCGACUGGCCUGGCACACGGUAGGUUCUUUUUUUUUUUUUUUUUUUUUUUUGAGAUGGAGUCUCUCUCGUCGCUCAGGCUGGAGUGCGAUGGCACGAUCUUGGGGCCCACUGUAACCUCCGCCUCCUGGUUUCAAGCGAUUCUCCUGCCUCAGCCUCCCAAGUAGCUGGGAUUACAGGUGCCCGCCACCAUGCUUGCCUAAUUUUUGUAUUUUUAGUAGAGAUGGGGUUUCACCAUGUUGGCCAGGCUAGUCUGGAACUCCGGACCUCAGGUGAUCCGCCCACCUCAGCCUCCCAAAGUGCUGGGAUUACAGGCAUGAACCACCAUGCCCGGCUGGUAGGUUCUUUUUGUAAGAUUUUUAUGUAUUUAUUUUUAACUUAGUGUUGGGGUCUCGCUGUGUUGCCCAGGCUGGUCUCGAACUUCUGAGCUCAAGCAAUCCUCCCACCUCAGCCUCCUAAACAUAGUAGGUUCUUAAAUGUUUUGAUGGGUGAAUGAAUUAAUUGAUAGUUGACAGGACUUUCUAACUGGAUAGCAGAUGGAACUGGGAAGUAGAGGAGACAGAUUACUGAAAAUUGGAAGAACGCAAAUAUGGAAUCCUGUUCAGCGGGUGUUUGCUGAGCCCUUCUUGUGCAAAAGGCUGAAGCGGGAAGUGCAAAAUAGGCCCCAGCUGCUGGUGUACUCCAGGGAGGGGUCCAGAGCCCAGAAUCUGCCCAUAUACACCAGUUCUAGGUCUUAGUCUCACCAACCUAAGAUGUCAGUUUCCUUUCUGCUCACCCACCUGUCUGAAUUUGAGAAGUAGAUACUUCUUUGUUUUGUUUUGAGUAUUACUGUCCACAGGCAUAGAAUCCAUGUGACUGUGACUUUAAGGCUGUAUAUUAUUCCAUUAUAUUGAUGUAUUAUCAUUUAAUAAAACCAUUCCCUGGCAUUUUUGUUGUUUGUUUACCUUCACAGAUAAUGCAGGAAUGAAUAUCUUCAUGUCUUCCUUUUCUUCCAUUUUUUUUCUUUCAUCAUUUUCCCAGAGGAGUAAUUUUUGUUCUGUUUUGUUUUGUGUUGUUUUCUUUUCUUUUUUUUGAGACAGCGUUUCGCUCUUGUUGCCCAGGCUGGAGUGCAAUGGCGCAAUCUCGGCUCACCACAACCUCCGCCUCUCAGGUUCAAGUGAUUCUUCUGCCUCAGCCUCCCAAGUAGCUGGGAUUAUACGCAUGCACCACCAUGCCCGGCUAAUUUUGUAUCUUUAAUAGA
rnacentral:lncRNA from 10 species